rnacentral:rRNA from 1 species
GAUGAACGCUGGCGGCGUGCCUAAUACAUGCCAGUCGAGCGAACAGAUGAGGAGCUUGCUCCUCUGACGUUAGCGGCGGACGGGUGAGUAACACGUGGAUAACCUACCUAUAAGACUGGGAUAACUUCGGGAAACCGGAGCUAAUACCGGAUAAUAUAUUGAACCGCAUGGUUCAAUAGUGAAAGACGGUUUUGCUGUCACUUAUAGAUGGAUCCGCGCCGCAUUAGCUAGUUGGUAAGGUAACGGCUUACCAAGGCAACGAUGCGUAGCCGACCUGAGAGGGUGAUCGGCCACACUGGAACUGAGACACGGUCCAGACUCCUACGGGAGGCAGCAGUAGGGAAUCUUCCGCAAUGGGCGAAAGCCUGACGGAGCAACGCCGCGUGAGUGAUGAAGGUCCUCGGAUCGUAAAACUCUGUUAUUAGGGAAGAACAAAUGUGUAAGUAACUAUGCACGUCUUGACGGUACCUAAUCAGAAAGCCACGGCUAACUACGUG